rnacentral:rRNA from 1 species
UACGUAGGGGGCAAGCGUUGUCCGGAUUUAUUGGGCGUAAAGAGCGUGUAGGCGGCCAGGUAGGUCUGCUGUGAAAACUCGAGGCUUAACCUCGAGCUGUCGGCGGAAACCAUCUGGCUAGAGUCCGGAAGAGGAGAAUGGAAUUCCCGGUGUAGCGGUGAAAUGCGCAGAUAUCGGGAAGAACACCCGUGGCGAAGGCGGUUCUCUGGGACGGUACUGACGCUGAGACGCGAAAGCGUGGGGAGCGAACAGGAUUAGAAACCCGA